rnacentral:rRNA from 1 species
UACGUAGGCAGCGAGCGUUGUUCGGAGUUACUGGGCGUAAAGGGUGCGUAGGCGGUCCUAUAAGUAUGGUGUGAAAUCUCCCGGCUUAACUGGGAGGGUGCGCUAUAGACUGUGGGACUAGAGUGUGGGAGAGGAAAGUGGAAUUCCUGGUGUAGCGGUGAAAUGCGUAGAUAUCAGGAGGAACACCGGUGGUGUAAACGGCUUUCUGGACCAUAACUGACGCUGAGGCACGAAAGCCAGGGGAGCAAACGGG